rnacentral:rRNA from 1 species
GACGAACGCUGGCGGCAUGCCUAAUACAUGCAAGUAGAACGCUGAAGAGAGGAGCUUGCUCUUCUUGGAUGAGUUGCGAACGGGUGAGUAACGCGUAGGUAACCUGCCUUGUAGCGGGGGAUAACUAUUGGAAACGAUAGCUAAUACCGCAUAACAAUGGAUGACACAUGUCAUUUAUUUGAAAGGGGCAAUUGCUCCACUACAAGAUGGACCUGCGUUGUAUUAGCUAGUAGGUGAGGUAAUGGCUCACCUAGGCGACGAUACAUAGCCGACCUGAGAGGGUGAUCGGCCACACUGGGACUGAGACACGGCCCAGACUCCUACGGGAGGCAGCAGUAGGGAAUCUUCGGCAAUGGGGGCAACCCUGACCGAGCAACGCCGCGUGAGUGAAGAAGGUUUUCGGAUCGUAAAGCUCUGUUGUAAGUCAAGAACGGGUGUGAGAGUGGAAAGUUCACACUGUGACGGUAGCUUACCAGAAAGGGACGGCUAACUACGUGCCAGCAGCCGCGGUAAUACGUAGGUCCCGAGCGUUGUCCGGAUUUAUUGGGCGUAAAGCGAGCGCAGGCGGUUUGAUAAGUCUGAAGUUAAAGGCUGUGGCUCAACCAUAGUUCGCUUUGGAAGCUGUCAAACUUGAGUGCAGAAGGGGAGAGUGGAAUUCCAUGUGUAGCGGUGAAAUGCGUAGAUAUAUGGAGGAACACCGGUGGCGAAAGCGGCUCUCUGGUCUGUAACUGACGCUGAGGCUCGAAAGCGUGGGGAGCGAACAGGAUUAGAUACCCUGGUAGUCCACGCCGUAAACGAUGAGUGCUAGGUGUUGGAUCCUUUCCGGGAUUCAGUGCCGCAGCUAACGCAUUAAGCACUCCGCCUGGGGAGUACGACCGCAAGGUUGAAACUCAAAGGAAUUGACGGGGGCCCGCACAAGCGGUGGAGCAUGUGGUUUAAUUCGAAGCAACGCGAAGAACCUUACCAGGUCUUGACAUCCCGAUGCUAUUUCUAGAGAUAGAAAGUUACUUCGGUACAUCGGUGACAGGUGGUGCAUGGUUGUCGUCAGCUCGUGUCGUGAGAUGUUGGGUUAAGUCCCGCAACGAGCGCAACCCCUAUUGUUAGUUGCCAUCAUUCAGUUGGGCACUCUAGCGAGACUGCCGGUAAUAAACCGGAGGAAGGUGGGGAUGACGUCAAAUCAUCAUGCCCCUUAUGACCUGGGCUACACACGUGCUACAAUGGUUGGUACAACGAGUUGCGAGUCGGUGACGGCGAGCUAAUCUCUUAAAGCCAAUCUCAGUUCGGAUUGUAGGCUGCAACUCGCCUACAUGAAGUCGGAAUCGCUAGUAAUCGCGGAUCAGCACGCCGCGGUGAAUACGUUCCCGGGCCU